UACGUAGGUGGCAAGCGUUGUCCGGAUUUACUGGGCGUAAAGAGCGCGCAGGCGGUCGCUCAAGUCGCGUGUGAAAGCCCCCGGCUCAACUGGGGAGGGUCACGCGAUACUGAUCGACUCGAAGGCAGGAGAGGGUAGUGGAAUUCCCGGUGUAGUGGUGAAAUGCGUAGAUAUCGGGAGGAACACCAGUGGCGAAGGCGACUACCUGGCCUGUUCUUGACGCUGAGGCGCGAAAGC
rnacentral:rRNA from 1 species